CGGGCAAGGCCAAUGUAGAGGCUGAUGCUACCAGUAGAUUGUCCAUGGGUAGUGCUGCUUAUGUUGAGGAUGGUAAGAAGAAGUUAGCUCAGGAAAUUCAUCUUCUUGCCUGACUAGGUGUCUAGUUAGUAAAAUCAGCGGAGGGUAGUGUAUGGGUACAAAGCAGCUUAUAAUCAUCUCUAGUUUCUAAGGUGAAGGAAAAGUAGGAUAGAUAUCCCAGUCUAGUUAAGUUGAAGGAAUAAGUCAGAGAUCAGAAGGUG
rnacentral:lncRNA from 1 species